AUUGAACGCUGGCGGCAGGCCUAACACAUGCAAGUCGAGCGGAUGAAGGGAGCUUGCUCCUGGAUUCAGCGGCGGACGGGUGAGUAAUGCCUAGGAAUCUGCCUGGUAGUGGGGGAUAACGUCCGGAAACGGGCGCUAAUACCGCAUACGUCCUGAGGGAGAAAGUGGGGGAUCUUCGGACCUCACGCUAUCAGAUGAGCCUAGGUCGGAUUAGCUAGUUGGUGGGGUAAAGGCCUACCAAGGCGACGAUCCGUAACUGGUCUGAGAGGAUGAUCAGUCACACUGGAACUGAGACACGGUCCAGACUCCUACGGGAGGCAGCAGUGGGGAAUAUUGGACAAUGGGCGAAAGCCUGAUCCAGCCAUGCCGCGUGAGUGAAGAAGGUCUUCGGAUUGUAAAGCACUUUAAGUUGGGAGGAAGGGAAGUAAGUUAAUACCUUGCUGUUUUGACGUUACCAACAGAAUAAGCACCGGCUAACUUCGUG
rnacentral:rRNA from 1 species